rnacentral:rRNA from 1 species
UACGUAGGGGGCAAGCGUUGUCCGGAUUUAUUGGGCGUAAAGAGCGUGUAGGCGGCUUUACAGGUCCGUUGUGAAAACUCGAGGCUCAACCUCGAGACGCCGGUGGAAACCGUAAAGCUAGAGUCCGGAAGAGGAGAGUGGAAUUCCUGGUGUAGCGGUGAAAUGCGCAGAUAUCAGGAAGAACACCCGUGGCGAAGGCGGCUCUCUGGGCCUUACCUGACGCUGAGGAGCGAAAGCGUGGGGAGCGAACAGG